UUUCCCUGCUUCGCUCAAGCGUGACUCAUUCCGCCCCCCCUCCCUCGGCUUCUCCUUUGCCUCCGGAGAUUCCGAGGAGGAGGAGGCGGGAGAGCGGGAGGGGGGGCGAGGGCAAGCGGGAGCGAUCUAGCCAGGAUUCGGCGAAGAGAGCGGCCGGCCCUUAGGAUCCGCGGGGAGGAGAGGUGGGGGAAGGAGCGGGAGCGGGAAGAUCUCCGGCGACGGCUCUCUCCAGCAAGCCUCUGCGUGGCGGGGCGCCUGGCCACGUGUUUUAGUGGGAUGCAGGCUCUCGCGUACAGGCUAUCAUGAGCACAGGAAACCAAAUGAACUUUCAAAUUGUCUACUGUUCUCACAGAACCAAAGAGAAGAACACGAUGAGUCUGCUGAGUGGGAAAAUGAGCAUUCAAUCUUCCAGGCUUACCCACUUAUUUUCUGAGUUAUAAAUAACAACAUCAUUUGGAAAGAUAUAAGAUCAGUUUCUUAGCAAUCCAAGAUGGCUGUAAACAAAUCGUUGAUUCUCAGAGUGGAAGGACAAAACAGUGAAGGUAAUUGGAUUCUGUUGUCCUGUUUUCUGAAGUUGCUUCUCCAGCUUUUCUUUUUCCUUCUAAUAUUUAACUCUCCAUCAGCUUCAUCAUACUUACUUACGGCAUUUCAAAUGGGGCAAAGAUCAAUUGACUAAUGUGCCUUAAAAAGCAUCUGAGACUCAAGAUUUUUAAAAAACAGAAAAAAACACUUUGUUACAAUGUUUUUCAUGUAGAAUAAUUUUAAGAAGAUUAUUAAAUUUUAAUAAUUUUAAGUCCUGUAAUAUAACUAUUAAUGUUAACAUAAGAAAUUAGUUCCUCUUGAGCUCAAACCCUGGCUCAGCCAUUCAGUUUUACUGAUUAAAGAUAUUACUAUGAGAUCUUCAUAUGAAGGAUGGAAUAAAAAGUAAUGUUAAUAACCUGAAAUGGGAAUUUCCUCCUAGAUAUCAUAUGUUGGUGAGUUGUUUUUAUAGUAAUAUUAUUAAAAAUUGCAAUUUCUACAAUAAAAAUUAAUACAAACAAAAAAUAAACAGGCAGAAAA